CCGAAAGGCUGAAGGAGCAAUGCCGCGUGAUCGAAGAAGCCCCUCGGGGUGUAAAGAUCUUUUUUAAGGGACGAAUUUGUGACGGUACCUUAAGAAUAAGCCAGUGCUAACUUCGUGCCAGCAGCAGCGGUAAUACGAAGGUGGCAAGCGUUAUCCGGAUUGAUUGGGCGUAAAGCGUCCGCAGACGGUAUGAUAAGUCGCAGGUCAAAUCCUGAAGCUCAACUUCAGGGCUGCUUGCGAAACUGUCAUGCUAGAGGCUGGAAGAGGUGAGCGGAAUUAUCGGUGUAGCGGUAAAAUGCGUUAAUAUCGAUAAGAACACCAAAUGCGAAGGCAGCUCACUGGGACAGUCCUGACGUUAAGGGACGAAAGCGUGGGGAGCGAAUGGGAUUAGAUACCCCAGUAGUCCACGCUGUAAACGAUGGGUACUGAGCAUUGGGAGUAUCGACCCUCCCGGUGUUGUUUAAUUAAGCUAACGCCUUAAGUACCCCGCCUGGGAAGUACGGUCGCAAGACUA
rnacentral:rRNA from 1 species